ensembl:lncRNA
GUGGUGCCCGAUCCCGAGGCCGUUCCCGAGGCGGUGCCCGAUGUUGUUCCCGAUGCCGAGGCGGUGCCCGAUGUUGUUUCUGAUGCCGAGGCGGUGCCCGAUGCCGAGGCGGUGCCCGAUGCCGAGGCGGUGCCCGAUGCCGAGGCGGUCCCCGAUGCCGAGGCGGUGCCCGAGGCGGUUCCCGAUGCAAUGUCCGAUGCCGAGGCGGUCCCCGAUGCCGAGGCGGUGCCAGAGACGGUUCCCGAUGUAAUGCCCGAGACCGAGGCUGUGCCCGAUGCCGAGGCGGUGCCCGAUGCCGUUCCGGAGGUCGAGGCAGUGACCGAUGCGCAGGCCGAGGUCGUUCCCGAGGCGGUGUCCUUGUCCAAGGCCGUUCCUGAGGCCAUUCCCGAGGCGGUGCCCGAUGCCGAGGUCGUUCCCGAGGCGGUGUCCUUGUCCGAUGCCGUUCCUGAGGCCAUUCCCGAGGCAGUGCCCGAUGCUGUUCCGGAGGCCGAGGCGGGGCCCGAGAUGGUUCCGGAGGCGAUACCCGUGUCCAAGGCCGUUCCCGAGGCGGUGCCCUUGUCUGAGGCGGUUCCCGAUGCAAUGUCCGAUGCCGAGGCGGUGCCCGAUGCCGAGGCGGUGCCCGAUGCCGAGGCGGUGCCCGAUGCCGAGGCGGUGCCUGAUGCGGUGGCCGAGGCGGUUCCCGAUGC